rnacentral:rRNA from 1 species
CGGCGGACGGGUGAGUAACGCGUGGGUAACCUACCCUGUACACACGGAUAACAUACCGAAAGGUACGCUAAUACGGGAUAAUAUAUUUGAGAGGCAUCUCUUAAAUAUCAAAGGUGAGCCAGUACAGGAUGGACCCGCGUCUGAUUAGCUAGUUGGCAAGGUAACGGCUUACCAAGGCGACGAUCAGUAGCCGACCUGAGAGGGUGAUCGGCCACAUUGGAACUGAGACACGGUCCAA